rnacentral:rRNA from 1 species
GAUGAACGUUGGCGGUGUGCCUAAUACAUGCAAGUCGAACGGAGACUGUAGCAAUACUGUCUUAGCGGCGAACGGGUGAGUAACGCGUUGGUGAUCUGCCUCGAAGUGUGGAAUAACCUCCCGAAAGGGAAGCUAAUACCGCAUAGUCUCUCAAGGUUUAGAAAAUUGAGAGUAAAGGAUUUAUUCGCUUCGAGAGGAGCCUGCGUCCCAUCAGCUAGUUGGUAGGGUAACGGCCUACCAAGGCAAUGACGGGUAGGGGACCUGAGAGGGUGGCCCCCCACAAUGGAACUGAAACACGGUCCAUACACCUACGGGUGGCAGCAGUAGGGAAUAUUAGAAAUGGGCGGAAGCCUGAUCUAGCAACACCGCGUGUGCGAUGAAGGCCUUCGGGUCGUAAAGCACUUUUUGGAGGGAAUAGGAAGGAAGGUACCUCCAGAAUAAGUCUCGGCUAACUACGUG